UGACCUCGGAUCAGGUAGACCCUUAAGCAUAUCAAUAAGCGGAGGA
rnacentral:rRNA from 1 species